CUAUUAGGGGAAAGUGGGGGAAACGCGAACGCUGGGUAAUGCCGAAUUCAAUGGUUCUAAUAUGUUAGAAAGAUAUAUCCUAAUUUUAUUUGCCGCCAUUUCGGAGAUCACGCCACCACUGAUGCCAGUCAAUAACACGGGAGACGCGGACACACGUACUUAAAAAGAUGCCUUGUACUUACAAAAGAAAGACCGAACUGAAGUAUAGUUUAGAAGAUCUCAAAAAGGCUAUAGACGAUGUUAAAACCAAAAACUCUCCCUGCGUAAAGCAGCAGAAACAUAUCAUGUUCCAAAAACCACUAAUUUUGACCAUCUAAUGAAAGAAGUGUUAAUACAGCCAUGGUUGGAUGAAAACCUUUAUUUACAGACGAUCAGGAAACGUAAGAAAUCAAGAAGAAAACGGAAAGAUGGCAAAAAAGGAACCCAAAUAAAAAGACUGAAAUGUAAUGAGAGAACACCUUCAAACAAGAAGUAUGAAAUAUUAUUAAAGAAUUUGAACAAUAUAAAAAAA